rnacentral:rRNA from 1 species
ACUAGCAGUAAGAGUUUGAUCAUGGCUCAGAACGAACGCUGGCGGCAGGCUUAACACAUGCAAGUCGAACGCUGUAGCAAUACAGAGUGGCGCACGGGUGAGUAAUACAUGGGAACGUGCCCUUCAGUCUGGAAUAACCACGGGAAACUGUGGCUAAAACCGGAUAUUCCCUCCGGGGGAAAGUUUACGCUGAAGGAUCGGCCCAUGCCAGAUUAGCUAGUUGGUGGGGUAAUGGCCUACCAAGGCUACGAUCUGUAGCUGGUCUGAGAGGACGACCAGCCACACUGGAACUGAGACACGGUCCAGACACCUACGGGUGGCAGCAGUCGAGAAUUUUUCACAAUGGGCGAAAGCCUGAUGGAGCGACGCCGCGUGGGGGAUGACGGCCUUCGGGUUGUAAACCUCUUUCAGUAGGGACGAAGCGCAAGUGACGGUACCUACAGAAGAAGGACCGGCCAACUACGUGCCAGCCGCCGCGGUAAUUC